rnacentral:lncRNA from 1 species
UUGUAACUUAAUGUUAGAAAUAAAACUAAAUGCAUAUAAGUUGCUAGUAUACAUUACAAAGUGGUACAAAAAGGAUAUAAAUGCAGAAUUGAUAUUGAUGCUGUUGAAAUGAAACUGCAGAUCUCUUUGAAUACAGCAGAAUAUACCCAACAUACAUGUAUACAGGGAAAUAAAGAUACUAUAGAAGAAAAAGAACACACUAUACAAAGAUAUACAAAAAUACAAAAAGAAAUAUAUGAAUACAACAUAAUACAUGUAACAAUGUGAUUAGGUAUAAAUGGAGUUGAAUUGAAACUCUCGAUUAAUGCAGAAUACAGAAGAAUAGACCCAAAUCUGAUUAGGUAUAAAUGGAGUUGAACUGAAACUCUCGUUUAAUGCAGAAUACAGAAGAAUAGACCCAAAUACAUGUAAAUACAGCAUGAAAAAGCUACAUUAGAAGAAGCAAAACAAGCUAUAAAUACACUAUACAAAUAGGUACAAAAAUACAAGAAGAAACAUAUGAAUACAAAGGAAUACAUGUAACAGUUAGAUUAGAUAUAAAUGCAGUUGAAAUAAAACUGCAGAUUAUUGCAUAAUACAACAUAAUACUCCCCCAAAUAAGUGUAAAUACAGCAAAAUAGAGUGGCUAUAUUAAAACUUUUAUCAAUAUAGCUAAAUAUAUAUGUUCAGUAUCUU